rnacentral:rRNA from 1 species
GACGUAGGGCGCGAGCGUUGUCCGGAUUUAUUGGGCGUAAAGAGCUCGUAGGCGGCUUGUUGCGUCGACCGUGAAAACCCGGGGCUCAACUUCGGGCUUGCGGUCGAUACGGGCGGGCUAGAGUUCGGUAGGGGAGACUGGAAUCCUGGUGUAGCGGUGAAAUGCGCAGAUAUCAGGAGGAACACCAAUUGCGAAGGCAGCUCGCUGGGACGUAACUGACGCUGAGACGCGAAAGCGUGGGGAGCGAACAGG